rnacentral:tRNA from 1 species
GCCCAGGUGGCGGAAUUGGCAGACGCGUCAGGUUGAGGGCCUGAUGCCCGUUUAGGGCGUGCUGGUUCAAAUCCAGUCCUGGGCA